ensembl:lncRNA
GAAAGAUGUGGAAUGCUUUACGCUGUCCCACAUCAGCAGACACUUCACACUCAGUUGCUCACCAUUAGUUACGCUGCCAUUGCCCACUGGGUGGGGAGAUGAUGGCCUAAUCUAUCCAACCGGGAAGUAUCCUUUGGGGUGUUACUCUGGCAAAUUAUUUUCCAGACUUUAAACCUUUGUACCAGUAUCCUGAUCCAAAAACCAUACCAUAUGUAAGUAAAUAGUAAAGAACAGACAGGACCAGUUUGCAAUCAAAGCCGGGGAGGGGUAAGUAAGUGGGGAAGAGCGAAGGUACGAAUUUGCUUAGUGUUCAUAGCUGGAAGGAAGCCUCACUGUUACAGUUUUCGUGGUGCUCUCUACUUUCCAAAGUAAUUGAUAGACAUUACUGAAGCUUGGUGUAAAUCACAAGCCCCGAGGACUUGAGGGAGACUGAGCAACUGGGAAAGUCAGCACCGGGUGUUGUGUAAUUUUUUUUCCUGAAUAGCUCUUCACAGGAGGUCCUCAGGGAUUCUGAUGUCUCUUUUAACACUCGCUAGUCAAGGUGAUAAUGCCAGGCUUACACAUGUACAUUCUUCAGAAAUAAGAACUGCCUGUAAUCCUCCCCAGAGGCGCCUGAUCUAAGUACCUACUUGAGCUACAAUCCCAUAUGGUUGGAUAUUGUCACAACGACGAAGCACCAGCAGGGACCUUGAUCCCAUCUCCCCACCUACCUACUUUAAUCUCUGUCUCGGUCCUGGGGGACAGUGAUUCUGUGAUAAGGACGUCAUGCAGGUGAAGUCGUUUAUAGAGCUAUGGUUGCUGAGUUCAGUGCUAGGUAGGGGACCCCAGAUGGGGCUGUCUCAGGUACACAUCCCAUUAGGCACCCGCUCUCACUGUGACCUGGGGGUCUUGUUAGUUAUGCACAGUAUAGGUUGUGCUGUUUGCUUUUUUUGAGGUAAGAGGGACACCGUAUUUCAGACAGCAGGAAAAAACCUGAAUUUGUCAAUUCUAUAAGUACAAUUGCAUUUGUACUCAGGAGAAAGAUACCUCUGAAGAGGUUUGCCUCUGUGCCUUUAAGCAAGACAUUUGCAGAAUAAAUCAGAGCUGAGGUGGCUCUGUCUGAGACUGUCAGGAUGGCCCAAUUUCCAGAAUAAUAACAGAGAUGUGCCUGGAUAAGGCAAAUUGGCUCAGGACAUGAGAGGCAGAGAAAAUACAUAACACAGCCCUUGGCCAUCUAAUGAUGCAGCCAGGUAAAUCUUCUCCUAAUGGACAUUAAGUUGAAAAAAUUAAAAGGAAUAAGAAGAGCACAGUGUUUAGAAAAAUGGGUCCUACAGGCUCUUCUCCCUGCUGCUUCAACUCUGGGUAGGUUCUUCUAGACUGCUUUUUGUACAAGAACCUUGUACAACCAGUUCAGCUGGAAGUGUGCCCGCCGCCCUGUCACGGCCCUCAUUAGAUAACUCUGACCUGUUGAAAAGCUGAAAAUAGAACCUUGAGCCAUUUUCUCUGCAGCUCAACUCUUAUAAAUUAUCUGUCUUUCUAAAUAUUAGCAGUACCCUAGUUAUACUGUCAUUUUUAAAAUACUUGUCCAUUUUUACCUUUUCUUAACACCCCUGACCACCACACUACUUUUCUUCAGGAAAAGGAUUUUUAUGUAAAGAGAGGAGUGGUUUUCUUUUUAUUUCCUUUCUCCCUAGACAGCUAGAGAUAUUAGUUAAAAAAAAAUUCUUGAGGGCUUUUAUCCUUGGUUUAAAUCACCUGGAAAGAUCAGUAGGGAAGAAUAGAGUAUUUCCUUAGUUACCCAUUUGCUGUAGUAACUAAAGCCCACAAAAAUCCAUCUCCCACUUCCUAUUAAAAUUUUAUAAGCAUUAAAAACAUUCACUUGGAUGCUGUAUGGUGUUUUUUCUUUUGCAUCCAAAUUGAACUUUUUUCACUCUGACGUCUAUAGCCUGGCUGAUUUUUCUUAAUUUAUUUACUCACUUAAAAUUUUUUUAAAUUAAUAAGUGAACUCCUGGCAGGGAACAGGGCUCACAAAUGUAAUCCCAGGGCUUUGAGAGGCUGAGUCAGGAAGAUCACUUGACACCAGGAAUUCGAGACCAGCUUGGGCAACAUAGUGAGAUUCCCAUCUCUUAAAAAAAAAAAAAA